rnacentral:lncRNA from 1 species
AAUGCCUCUUGCUAAAGAUUUUCUUCAUCCAAGUCCAGCUGAAGAAAAAAGAAAGCACAAGUUAAAAAGACUUGUACAAAAACCAAAUAGCUAUUUUAUGGAUGUGAAAUGCCCUGGAUGUUAUGCCAUCAAAACCAUCUUUUCACAUGCACAGAGGUCGGUAGAAUGUGAUGGAUGUCGUACAAUAUUAUGCACAUCUACAGGUGGCAAAGCACGAUUGACAGAAGGUUGCUCAUUUAGGAGAAAGGUCCAAUGUUAAUGUAACCACGAUUAAGGCAACAUAAUGAUAUACACAGACAUUUCUCUUUAUAUUCAAUAAAUAAACAGAAUUAUUGUAAAAAUUAACAAAA